AUAAUCCGCCACCAACUAGACUAAUAGCUCCGCUCCCUGAUUUCUACGGCGGACGGGUGACUAACACGUGGGCAACCUGCCCUACAGAUGGGGAUAACUCCGGGAAACCGGGGCUAAUACCGAAUAAUCAGUUUGUCCGCAUGGACAAACUCUGAAAGACGGUUUCGGCUGUCACUGUAGGAUGGGCCCGCGGCGCAUUAGCUAGUUGGUGGGGUAAUGGCCUACCAAGGCGACGAUGCGUAGCCGACCUGAGAGGGUGAUCGGCCAAACUGGGACUGAGACACGGCCCAGACUCCUACGGGAGGCAGCAGUAGGGAAUCUUCCACAAUGGACGAAAGUCUGAUGGAGCAAUGCCGCGUGAGCGAAGAAGGUUUUCGGAUCGUAAAGCUCUGUUGUAAGGGAAGAACAAGUACGGGAGUAACUGCCCGUGCCAUGACGGUACCUUAUUAGAAAGCCACGGCUAACUACGUGCCAGCAGCCGCGGUAAUACGUGUGUGGCAAGCGUUGUCCGGAAUUAUUGGGCGUAAAGCGCGCGCAGGCGGUUCUUUAAGUCUGAUGUGAAAGCCCACGGCUCAACCGUGCACGGUCAUUGGAAACUGGAGAACUUGAGUACAGAAGAGGAAAGCGGAAUUCCACGUGUAACGGUGAAAUGCGUAUAGAUGUGGAGGAACACCAGUGGCGAAGGCGGCUUUCUGGUCUGUAACUGACGCUGAGGCGCGAAAGCGUGGGGAGCAAACAGGAUUAUAUACCCUGGUAGUCCACGCCGUAUACGAUGAGUGCUAAGUGUUACGGGGUUUCCGCCCCUUAGUGCUGCAGCUAACGCAUUAAGCACUCCGCCUGGGGAGUACGGCCGCAACGCUGAAACUCAAAUGAAAUGACGGGGACCCGCACAAGCGGUGGAACAUGUGGUAUAAUUCGAAGCCACGCGAAAACCUUACUAGGUCUUGACAUCCCGCUGCCGGUGUAGAGAUACGCCUUUCACUUCGGGACAGCGGUGACAGGUGGUUCAUGGUUGUGUUCAUCCCGUGUAGCGAGAUGUUGGGUUAAGUCCCCCAUCGAGCGCAACCCGGCAUUUUAGUUGCCAGCAUUCAGUCGGGCACUCUAAGGUGACUGCCGGUGAUAAACCGGAGGAAGGUGGGGUGGACGUCAAAUCAUCAUGCCCCUUAUGACCUGGGGUACACACGUGAUACAAUGGAUGAUACAGAGGGUUGCCAACCCGUGAGGGGGAGCCAAUCCCAUAAAAUCAUUCCCAGUUCGGAUUCGAGGUUGCAACUUGCGUCCAUGAAGCCGGAAUCGCUUUAAUCGGGAUCAGCAUGCCACGGAGAAUACGUUACCGGGUGGCUACACGCCCCCGGUCUCACACCCAGCCGCCGAACAACUCAAGUAGCGAAGCGGUAAUUCUUUCCGCCUGCAGGAAC
rnacentral:rRNA from 1 species